UACGUAGGGGGCAAGCGUUGUCCGGAUUUAUUGGGCGUAAAGAGCGUGUAGGCGGCCAGGUAGGUCUGCUGUGAAAACUCGAGGCUUAACCUCGAGAUGUCGGCGGAAACCGUCUGGCUAGAGUCCGGAAGAGGAGAGUGGAAUUCCUGGUGUAGCGGUGAAAUGCGCAGAUAUCAGGAAGAACACCCGUGGCGAAGGCGGCUCCUCUGGGAAGCGGUACUGACGGCUGAGACGGCGAAAGCGUGGGGAGCGAACAGG
rnacentral:rRNA from 1 species